CUAAGACCUGACCAGAGGAAUGUUUUCACUUGUAGUAAGACUGGAAGCCAAUUGUCUCCUUAGGUAAAAAAAAAAAGCAGUUGAGCCAGUACUGAUUAGAUCCUCCCCUUCUGACUGAGCCUUAAAAGGAAAUAAUCCAGAGAGAGAGACAAAGGAAGUAGGACAGAGGGUGGAGGCAGGAACAUGGCGAGAGGCCAAGUCAGGGUCCUACUUGCUGAUGUGACAAUGAGGGGCACAAGUGGAGCCCUCAUGGCUUCACUUGGGCAAUCAGCAGCAUAAAAGAUGGGCAGGAAGCAUAGCCACCAUCAACUCACACUGCAGGGAGUCAUGAAUAUCACCUCCGUCUUUGACAUAUGAGGGGAGAAAUGCUCAGACCACAAAAGUGUCCUCCAACCCAGGGUCCAGGAGGGAAGAAUAAAACACUGGGCAAUUGCUGUUCCAGCAUGCCCGCAGAACACAUGGAGCAAAUGCCUUCUCGUCCCAGACCCAGGGACAAGGGAGUCUGCAUGGAGGUGCCACAGAUGGAGCAUUCUGGGAAUAUAGAGACCUGGAUUCUAGGACUGACCUUGUAAGAGUGGGCAUCAGCCAUCAGAAGGAAAACCCAGCAUUUCUGGUGCCUCAGAAAUCACGCCAGGGACCGGCCUCUUCUUUCAUCCAAACGUAUGUGAGUGUCUACUACAGUCCUUGUUGGAAAGUUUCAGUAAAUUUUUUUUUUAAUUUUAUCUUUCUUUUAAAGAUUGGCACCUGAGCUGACAACUGUUGCCAAUCUUCUUUUCUUUUUCUUUUCUGCUUUUUCUCCCCAAAUCCCCCCAAUACAUAGUUGUAUAUUUUAGUUGCAGGUCCUUCUAGUUGUGGCACUUGGGAUGCUGCCUCAGCAUGGCCUGAUGAGUGGUGUCAUGUCCACGCCCAGGAUCCGAAUCAGCGAAGCCCUGGGCCACCGCAGCGGAGCGCGUGUACUUAACCACUCGGCCACGGGGCCAGCCCCCUCAGUAAAUGUUUUUUGAACUCAACUCUUAAGUUUUAUGAAAAUAAACCUGAUCAGUGAGCUUUUAUGGAACAUCUACUAUCAUUGUAGUAUUAUCGAGGAUAAGGAAGCAACAAGGAAAAAAAUGCUCUCUGGUUCAACAUCUAGACCCACUGACGAGCCAAGACAGGCAGAGAGGAAACACUAAUGGUAAUAAUAAUAAUAAUAAUAAUAGUCAUAGUAAUAGUAACUUCCAUUCUUUGAACAACUACUGUGUGCCAGGGACUUAACAUGCUUUUUCACAUUUAUUUCUCAUAUUUAUUUCUCACAACAGUGCUGUGAGGGUAUUAUGAUGCUCAUUUUACAAAUAAAGGAAACGAAACUCAGAAAUUUUUUAGUAACUUGGGGAAAGACGGCAAAUAGUAAAUGAUGGAGCCAAGAUUUUAAGUACAAUGUGUUUGAUAAAGCCAGUAUUCCUUCUAUGACACCCUGAUGCUGUAUUGAGCAUGGCAAGGUUAAGAGGGAGGGAGGAAGAGAUGCAGAUUCUAUACAUGUGUGUUUAGGGAUUUGGAGGAAAAGAGCUUGCUGCCGAGUAGGGUUGGCGCAAGGAGACAUUGUGGAGGGGUUGGCUUUAUACAGGGAGCAGGUUUUUUUCUGAAUAUUUAUUUGUAGUUUUAUCUUUAGAAUAUAUACUUUCAUUGAUGGAUAGUCAGGGAACUGCUUUCAAAAGUCACUUGAAAUAGUAUAUUAGAGGCUCUUUUGGAAGAGCUUUGAGAUUGGAGAAAAUACAGAGUUUGGCACAUUGCUGGGUGUCAGUUAAUGAUGACUAGAUGGACGGACAGAGAAAUACGUCAAAAGCAAAUGGGACAUCUAGACCACCUACAUUAUGUCUAUGGGUUGAACUUGCUGUUAGCAUCAGUUUUAAAUAUUAUAAAGCUUUUUAAAUUCAAAUCUUUCAAGAUCUUGCUCAUAGUAAUUAGUUAUUCCACUUAUGCUGUUCUGGUCCAGGUCGCAGCCCGGCUCGUGGCUUCCUGAAAUGAGAACGGCCUUCUGAGUGGAUUCAACCCCAGAUGUUGCUUCACUCCUGAGAUCCUGGGCAGUCGCCUCAUCCCCAGACUUGGGGAGAAUUUGGCUGACCAUGGAAGUUCAUUAUUCAUUCAUUUAACAAACCUAUAAGGAGUCCCCUAAGUGCCUAGCACUGUUCUGAACUCUGGAGAUCAGGGGAAAAUGAAGACUCUGCUCCGAGGGAGUUCACAUUCCAGUGGGCUGAGUUGGAUAAUGAAGAAGGAGCUCCACUAAUCUGUGUGUUGAUUUAAGAUAGAGGUAAGCACCACGAAACAGUCAAAGGUGAGGCAAUGUCAGGGAAUACUUUAAAUGGGGGUGUCAAUGAAGGCCUCUUUGAGGAGCUGACAUUUGAGCUAAGAUCUGAAAGAUAGGAAAGAGAUAGAAAUCAAAGGAGAAAGUGAACUCCUGGCAGAAAGCAAGGCAGGUGCAAGGUCUCUGGGGUGGGAAGGAGCCUGGUGGGUUUGAGGAACUGAAAAGCUAGUGCUGGAGCACAGGUCUGAGGGGCAGGCAGGCACUGGAUCAGGUUGAGCCUCGUCAGCCAGGGUAAAGAGUAUCUGCAUGUUAUUCUGAUUGCAAUGCGAAAGCACUAGAAGGUCUGAGCAAAGGAAUGACAUAAUCCAAGUUUAUGUUUAAAGAUCACUCUCGCCUGCCAAAUCUCUACUUCAAUCUGAUUCUGAUUUCAGUAUCAUUUACUGAGCAUGCAUUUUGUGCCAAUCACCAUACUAGGCAUAUAUAUACAUAUAUACAUAUUCAUACGUAUAUAAUAUCUAUCUAUCUAAUCUCCAGUUUCCAACCCGCUACUCCAGGUGCAUGUUAUUACUUCCAUUUUGAAAUGGAGAAGCCAUAGCACAGAGAGCGACUUGCUCUAAGUCACAGGGCUGUAUGGUUUAGCUUAGAGUCAGAGUUUGAACCAGAAUUGGCUUAAUGUUCUCUACUCUUUCCACUCUGCCAUGCUAUCUCAACCAUGCAAUUAUGGGGUUUAAGAAGUUUUGAUUAAUAAAAUUAUCUCAAGAGUGAAAAAGCCAAGACAUUUUUGCACCAGCUUUCAUUUAUGCAGGCCAGAGCUGCCCUGCCUUUGGCUGUGCUGCUCCUGUGUCCUACAGCCAGGUCCUGCCACCUCUCUGGAUGCUGCAGAUGGAGGAGCUCACUGGGGAAGCCGCUCCAGGACCCUCAGGUCCCUUGUGGACAUGCCUCGUUAUACACUUCCUGAUACCUACACUAUGGGCUUCCCGUCCAGGGUUUCUCUGCUCUAGAAGACGCUGCAGCAUCCACUUGGCACCCAAGCUUGAGCAACCUGGAUGUUGGAAGAGUUAACAUUUCAUGGGUAAACUUCUGUGGAGCCAGUGAAUACAUUUUUUACCCUUCUUCCCCUUGGAGACACUGUUUAGAGCUGCAGUGGCUUCAGGAGGCUGAAGUCAGCUUGAAGAGGCUCUGGUCUUCUUUGGAAGAGACUUUUCAAUAUUUUUCUCCCCCUCCUUCGCUGCCCUAUGCCUCUUCCCUCUCUUCUGCUCCCGGGGAUUGUACUCCCCAGUGACAUUCUCCCAGAAGCUGUUGCUGCAGGCUCUGUUGUCUAAGACAACCCUCCUCUACAGCUCUCACUUUCUUUCACUAGUUUCCUCUCACUCUGCUCUCACAGCCAGGCCGCUUCUUCUAGGUGGACUAAGAAGCUCUUUAUGGCUUGCCAGGCCCAACAAAACCCUUCUGCCUGAUGUUCCUCUGAAUCCUAAACUCCAGUCUCAGAACUGGCACUUGAGGGUUUAUAUAUUUACCAGGGAAGUUGGAAUGUACUGGGGGGCGAAAGGCAUGAUGCAAUAACAUCUGUGAACCCAACAGCAGAACUUUUUAAAGCACUAAAUACAAGGCACCAUUUUUAGCCUUGCGGAGAAGGAAGAAACUAACAUUGAUUGAGCAUCUGUUAUGUUCAAUAAUUCCCUCAUACAUUUAUUCAUCUUGUGUUUUUCUGCUGCCUCCCACAUGCUGGUUGCUGUCUUAGAUAAAUCCUGGGGAUCCCAGCUGAAUGAGAAAGCCCUUGCCUUAAAAGGGCCUUUGGUCUAAUAAGUAUCAGGCUGUGCGCUGGGCAGUCUUAUUGAAGCUUCACAGCCAUGCUUUCUAAUUUAAGUGCUUUCAUAUCUAUAAUUUCACUGUAUCCUGGCAAUCAACUUUGGGUGGAUGAUUGUGUCCAUUCUACUGGUGAGAAAACUAAGGCUCAGGAGGUUAAAUGAUUUCCCAGAGUUAGUUAUGAACUUAGGUCUCCCGGACCUAACUCCAUAGCUCUUCCUCGCCCACAUAGCUGAUCCUUGACCGUACAGAAUUGUGAGGGUGGCCUCCCCACUUCAGAUUUUGCCCUCUAGUUGCACAUAUGUCACUCUGUGUAGCCCUGAACUUGCCCAUGGGGAGUUUAGUGUGUUCAGCUGGUGUUCCACGGGGUCCUCACUUGUCCUGGUCACAUGAUCCAGGUAAAUGGACAAUGUCCUCUAAUGUCAGAAAUGCAAACCCAAGCAUUCAAAAAUGUCUACACUUGAGAAAAUGCCUUUGUAAAGUCGAAACUGAGUAUUGGAUACCCAGUCUCAAAACUGAGGAAGACAUUAACAUAUGAUUUCCUCUGGCACGUGGUGUGGGAAUUAGAGUGCUUUAGUAAACAUUGCAGAAGGCCGUGUGGGUCAUCUCAAUCCAAAGCAGGGCAGAAGCUUCUGAGCUCUCCCCCUAAGCCGAGUGAGCAACUUUGCCCUUUCACUCACUUAAUGACUUUGCCUCAUCUGGAAAAAUUAUUCCCAAGAUAAAAAAUAAUAUUUAAGCAAAUUUUUCACAAACUGACCAAAUAAGAUUUUUAAAAAUUUGUAAAAUUGAAACUUAUCUUCGCUAUACAAAAGCCAAAGCAUUAACCAGAUACAUACAGAGCUCUGUGGUAUUAGAAUAUUAGUACCAAGUAAAAAAUAAGACAUUGAAUAACUUCAGCAAAGUUUACUCAGAGAGAAAAUUCAUUUAUUUAUCAAAAGCAAGUUAAUUCACCAUACCAGGGAGCUGUUGUUCUUUCCCAUUUACAAAAUUAAGCCUCCCUUAUUAAGCCAGAAUACUCUUCCAGGACAAUAAUGAAGAAUAAUGCAGCUUUUUAUUGCCUCUGGGGUAUGUCUGAGCACAGAUGGCCUUGAAAAUAAAACAGUAUUUUGGAGUGAAUUCAGUCUGCUUUCUUUUUUUUUCUAACCCGACUCCGGUGAGUGGAAGCAAUACCAUGUUCUUCAGCUCCCGAGAAACCCCUCGAGAUAAAUGGGACAGACAAACCCUCAUGCACACAUCCUUUACAUUUAUACUGACAGCCUAUAAAUAUGUGUUUAUGCAAAGCGCUCAACUAGUUAUGUAUUGACAACCUCUAGAAAUAAAUUCUGGACUGCGUGGAUUUGAACUUCCCUGCUCCUGAAUCCUUCUGAGAUAUGGCCCUUGGCUCAGCUGAUAUUCAAAGGUCUGUGCAGCCUGAAUGUCAGAAAUUUUGCAUCUUCUGUGGCCUAAGGGAGUGUAGCACCUACACAGUUCACUGUCCUCCAACUUGCAGCUACUUCUUCAGAGACUGGUUCAGAGUGGUUCUGAAGACUGUCCUUAGAAAGCAUCGUCCUUUUCAGCUGACUCUUAUUGACCUCCAGGCCCUUUCACUCUGGAGGCUCCCAGAGUAUUAUGUGGCAAAGGUGGCACUAAAUUCCCUCAUUUAUAUUCUGGGCCAAGUGGUGAAAGAUUUUGUGCACGUCACUUCCAGUUUCUGAAAUCUUCAAUGGCAUCCUAUGUUCCAAAGAUUAAAACCCAAGUCCUCUAACCAGGCAGCCAAAUCUCCAUCCACCUGGAGUCAUCCAUUCAUCAGAUAUUUAUCAAGGGCUUACUAACUAAGCAUUGUGCUAUGGGUCAUCAGCAUCCCUGGCCUCAUAGACCUGACAUCUAUGGGAGACAAACAAUCACACAGCUAACUAUUUAGUUACAGCAAUACUAAGUGUGCUGAUGGAGAAGUGCAGGGUGCUGUGGGAGCUUCUAACUGAGGCUCCAGACCUGGCCUGGGGAGCCUGAAGAACCAGGAAACAGUUGGGGCUGGACACCCAGAACAAGGGGUUUAUGGCCCAAUGAGGCUGGAGGGACAGGCAAUCUUGGGCCAUUCUUGGUCUUGAAGAAAAUUCUAUGUGAAGACUUUGGAACUUUAUCAAAGGAGAAACUGGAAGCCACUAUGGGAUUUCAAGCAGGAAGAUAUGACUAAUUUUGUAUUUAUUCAUUUAUCUUUUGCUUAUGUUAUCUUAUUUAUUUAUUAUGGAGGUCACAUUGGUUUAUAACAUUAUAUACAUUUCAGGUGUACAUCAUUAUAUUUCAACUUCUGUAUAGACUACAUUGUGUUCAUCACCAAAAGUCUAGUUUCCAACUGUCACCAUACAGAUGUCUCCCUUUAGCCCUUUUGUCCUUCCUACACCUCCCUUCCCUGCUGGUAACCACCAAUCUGUUCUCUAUAUCUAUGUGUUUGUUUGUUAUUAUUAUUUUUUUAUCUUCCACAUAUGAGUGAAAUCAUGCUGUAUUUGUCUUUCUCCAUCUGACUUAUCUCACUUAACAUAAUACUCUCAAGGUCCAUCCACGUUGUCACAAAUGGCAAGAUUUCAUCUUUUUUAUUACUGAGUAGUAUUCCAUUUUAUAUAUAUACCACAACUUCUUUAUCCAUUCAUUUGUCGAUGGACACUUAGGUUGUUUCCAAGUCUUGGCUAUUAUAAAUAAUGUUGCAUUGAACAUAGGGGUGCCUAUGUCUUUUCAAAUUGGUGUUUCCAUGUCCUUUGAAUAAAUACACAGAAGUGGAAUAGCUAUAUCAUAUGGUAGUUCUGUUUGUGGAGAAAAGGGAGCCCUCAUACACUGCUCUUUGGAAUGUAAAUUGGUAUAGCCACUAUGGAAAACAGUAUGGAGAGUCCUCAAAAAAUAAUUUUGCAUUUAAACAAAUUGCUCUGGUUGCCAUUUAGAAGUGGUUUGGAGAUGGAACCUCAGAGGCCCAGAAAUCAGUCAAGAAUCUAUUGCAGUGGCCUAGAGGGGAAUGGAGGGGAUUGUGGAUAAAGGUGAUAAUGUUGGUGAAAGUGAGAAGUGAAUGAAGCUGUAUAGGGUACCUGAGCCUUUAUCUCUUUAAUCUAACACCAGGCUACAACCUUCCCCUCACUUGCUAAGAUUUUGUAAUUUGCCUUCAUGAGCCUUUAUUAAGAAAAAGGACUGAAAAAGAAGCAUGACUUCCUCUUUGUCAUAGGAACCACCCCAAUUUCAGACAUAAAAUUUGGUUUCAUUGCUUAAAGCCAUUGGCCCUUAGUCUCUCUCUGAGUGAGGGAGGUGGAUGGUCUAAUGGUCUGAAUUGUGUCCCCCCAAAUUCUUAUGUUGAAGCCCUAUCCCUCCGUGUGGUUAUAUUUGGAGACGGGGUUAAUGAGGUAACAAGGCUGAGUGAGGUCACAAGGGUGGCACCCUAAUCCAACAGUGCUGGUGUCCUUUUAAGAAGAGGAUGAGACAUAGAACUCUCACUCUCUGCACGUGCACAGAGGCCGUGUGAGGACACAGCAAGAAAGCAGCCUACAAGUCGGGAAGAGAAGCUUCAUCAAAAACUGAAUUUUCUGGCACCUUAGUCUUGAACUUCUAGCCUCCAGAACUACAAUAAAGUAAAUUUCUGUCGUUUAAGCCACCUAGUCUUCGGUAUCCUCUUAUGGCAGCCUGAGCUAACUAAGACAGCUGGGUAGAGGAGAAUGGAUCUGUGGCUAACCAUAUUUGAUAUUUUCACUGCUUUUUAGCUUUCCAAAUCACCCUUAUGGAAACAGAUCCAAUCUAUUUUAAGAAAAAUAUCUAUAUAAGAACGUGCCAGUCAUUUGGACCCUUCUCGUUCAGAAUGUUGGCCAAUUCACACAGGCUAGGCUAAUGUGGCACUUGAAAAAAGGACUUGAUGGUUUUUGAAAAGGGAGAGAUUUUAAGCGAAUUAAUACUGUAUACAGGAUUAUAUGGGCCAAGGAGACACUGGACAAACACCCCUAGCUUCGCUUUUUACUGGUUGUAUGCCCAUGAAUGUAUAGUUAACAUGGUAAGCCUCAAUUUUCUCAUCUAUAUAAGGUGUUGACUGAUAGUAUUGACCUCACAAGGAUCUGUAAGGAUUAACUUAGAUGAUGAAAGCAACAAAAUUUGCAGUUUCUGGUGUGUCAUAAGCACCUAAAAGAUGAUGGCUGCUAUCAUUUGGAAAUAGUUACACUUGUCAAAGCAACCAAAAGAGAAAAUGCAAAUUGUUUUCUAUUUCUUAAAUGUGGUAUGUAAAAGACCCAAGAAGCUGAAGACCAAACAUGUAAGUCCUGAUUAGUUUAACUAACUUACUCGUAUGGAGAACUGGGAAGUCAUGACAAGCUACUAAGAAUUCUAGAAUUUGGGUUUCAGGGCAGCCAGUCCUUCCCCAGCCCACACACAUCAAUAAAGCUUGCCAGUGUGGCUCUUAGUCUUCCAACACAAGGAUUUCUUUUGUACUUAAGAUCCUUGCUAUUCUUUCCCCUGUUCCAGGGCAGCUACCUAUGAGGCUGGAAGGAAACAAUGCAGAAUUUGGAGCCAGAGGUCCUGGAAUACAGUCUGAUUCUGACACUCACUGGUUUAUGACCAUGGGCAAAAAUGUUCUCUUCCACCCGUCGUGCUUCAAAUUUUUUAUUUGUAGUCAAAAACGUGAGUGGAGUGGUUAUGUCUGUUCUGCCUAUUCAGGUUGUUUGGAGAAAGAACUACAUAGACUCUCAAGUAAUAUGCAGAUAUAAUGAGCCAUUAUUGAUGUUUUUGUAAUUUUGGUUUUCUAUUAUAAUUUGGCAUCCCCUUCUCCCUUAGCUUGGAAGACAAAUUAGGUGAUUUUUGCUCCAUAAAUUAUUUAUUGCUUUUUACUAGUGGACUGCUUUGAUCGUCGACAUCAAUGCUAUGAUAUGCAAGUGUUCUGGAAUAAAUAGAGCUGUGGUGAAAUUAAACAACAACAGUUGGCCCUCUGAAGGCUAGGUCAUGGCAGCUGGGUAAAAUAAGAGACAAACUGAUAACCUGUGGUAUGAGUGAUUCUAACCCAAACCUUGCUCAGGGCACUGAGGAUCCAUGUUCUUGACUUGUCCCUUUGAGGUAAGUAGAACUUAUCCUGAAAAAAACAUAGGCUGUUGGGUCUGAAAAGUCUAGAUUUAAAUCCUAGAUCCAGAAUACACUUGAUUUGGGACAUUAGAUAAUUUAUUUAGCCUAUAGAUUCUUCAAUUAUUUCACCUAAAAAAUGGAAGCGAGUAAUAUUACUUCCUAAUUAUUGACCUUGUUUCAGGUGUGUCAGUACACCAAGCUCAUUGUUACCCCAGGGCCUUUGCUUGUACUUUUCUGUUUGUCCAGAUAACCUGUCUCCCUGUUCUUUUCAUGGCCGUUUUUGUUUCAUCCUCCAGCAUACCUUAAAAUGUCAGUUAAUCAGAGAAGACUUAUCUUUUUUUUCUUUUUUUUUGAUGAGGAAGGUUAGUCUUGAGUUAACAUCUGUGACAGUCUUUCUCUAUUUUACAUGUGGGAUGCUGCCUCAGCCUGUCUUGAUGAGUGGUAUGUAGGUUCAUGUCCGGGAUCCGAAGUGGUGAACCCCAGGCUGCCAAAGCGGAGCAUGUGAACUUAACCACUAUGCCACCAGGCCGGCCUCCAGAAAAGGCUUAUCUUAAUGUCUUUACCAAUUCAGUUCCCACACCCCAAACCCAAGUAUUCUCUAUGAUUUCACUGUUUCUUUCUGUUUUUUUCUUCUGUAAACUCUAUAAUUUUGUUUUGUUCAUCACUGUAUGUUCAGCAUGUAUACCAAGCUUACCACAUACUAGGCCAUUCAUAAUACUUAUUAAAUGAUGACUAAAUGGAUGAGUAAAUAAAUAAAAGAAUUGCCAUAAGGAUUAAAUACAACAAAAAAUUAAAAUAUCUUUAAAAAGUGCUUGACAUAUAGUAAACACUCAGGAGUGUUAUUUUCUUUCCUUUACUUUAGUUCAAUAAACAUUCUAUGGGAACCAAAACUGUACAGACAGUGUGCAAGGUGUUAGAUUUCCAUGAUGACAAUGGGAAGCCAGGACAAUUAGUUGACAUGAUUUCCCCAAGAACAGCUAAAAUGAUGACGAAGAAAGAGGAGGCAAAUUAUUUUAAUCAAUUCAAUAGUUGUCCUUUGCCUUGGUCAUUUGAAUGAGAUAAAAUUAAUUAUUAUCAUUUUUGAGAAAGAUCAAACAUAACUUUUGAGAUUCUCUGUUCAGAUAUAUAUUUCAUUCUUGACAAAACAUUAUUUCCUAUUUCUAUGAAAAUAAAACUAAAAAAGUUUCUUCAACAUUUCCUAAAGCUUAAAAAUACAUUGAGACAAGUAUUAACUUUCCCCUCCAAAUGUGUGACUGAUUCUAUUCCACUUGGGAUUGUCAGUCCUACAGAAUCUAUCAGUGACUCUGAAGGAAAUGUUUUCACUAAUUUCAUAUAUAUUCCUAUUGACUUUUGAAGAGAACAGCACUGUGAGAGCAACUCAAAAUUCAAUUUUGUACAACCUACAAGGGUAUUGUACUUUAAUUCAGAGAAGGAACGAAAAUUAUUCUUUCAAACAUUUAUUGAGCACCUGCUACAUGCAACACCCUGUGCUUCUUCUCCAUGACUUUUUACUCAUUGAUCUUGAUCAGGCCUCUGGAGUCAUGAGAAUAAGUCAGUUCCAUUUCUGUUCAUGACAGCCCUUCAAUCAUUGUGAGACUGCUGUCACAGCACCCCUGAGCGUCAUCUCCAGAUUAAACCUUCAAGCAUCCCUCACAGGUCUCAGAUGCUGACCCCCUGAUUAUUCUGACCACUGUCCUUAGAACAUGCUCCACUGUGCCUGUGUCAAGGCCCCUCUGGAAGAGAACAGGAUGCACAGAUGUGUAUGAUCCAGACAGAUCCAGAAAACCAUAGCUACCCUUGAGCUGAGCAUUGCAUUUCUUCACUCACUGCCUAAUGGCUCAACAAUUUUAGGUUUCUUCAGCCUCAGAAUUCUGUUGGCUCAUGUUGUGCUUGUG
ensembl:lncRNA